rnacentral:rRNA from 1 species
GAGGGGAGUGAAAUAGAACCUGAAACCCUGCACUUACAAGCUGUGGAAGCACAUUUCUUGUGUGACCGCGUACUUUUUGUAGAACGGGCCAACGAGUUACGUUAAGUAGCAAGGUUAAGCACUUAAGGUGUGGAGCCGUAGCGAAAGCGAGUUUUAACUGAGCGUUCAGUUACUUGACGUAGACCCGAAGCCGGGCGACCUACCCAUGAGCAGGAUGAAGCGAAAGUAAAAUUUCGUGGAGGUCCGAACCCACGAGCGUUGAAAAGCUCGGGGAUGACUUGUGGGUAGCGGUGAAAUUCCAAUCGAGCCCGGAGAUAGCUGGUUCUCCCCGAAAUAGCUUUAGGGCUAGCCUCAAGGUGAG